AAGUCGUAACAAGGUUCCGUAGGUGAACCUGCGGAAGACACGUAUCCAACGUUAAACCCCCCUGUAAACCACACUGGCCGGAAUUGCAGUAAAUAGGAUUCAGUUAGAUCGCGAUCGAUGUAAGGAUAACGCUUUUCGAUCACUAGAGGUGCCGGCCGGUGACCAGGCUUUCCACCCACUACCUUUUAAGCCGCCUCGUAGGAAACAUCAAAACGAACAACUGUUAACAAUGGAUAUCUUGGUUCUC
rnacentral:misc_RNA from 1 species